rnacentral:rRNA from 1 species
GUGGGGAAUCUUAGACAAUGGGCGCAAGCCUGAUCUAGCCAUGCCGCGUGAGCGAUGAAGGCCUUAGGGUUGUAAAGCUCUUUCAGCUGGGAAGAUAAUGACGGUACCAGCAGAAGAAGCCCCGGCUAACUCCGUGCCAGCAGCCGCGGUAAUACGGAGGGGGCUAGCGUUGUUCGGAAUUACUGGGCGUAAAGCGCACGUAGGCGGAUCAGAAAGUCAGAGGUGAAAUCCCAGGGCUCAACCUUGGAACUGCAUUUGAAACUCCUGAUCUUGAGGUCGAGACAGGUGAAUGGAAUUCCGAGUGUAGAUGUGAAAUUCGUAGAUAUUCGGAGGAACACCAGUGGCGAAGGCGACUCACUGGCUCGAUACUGACGCUGAGGUGCGAAAGCGUGGGGAGCAAACAGGAUUAGAAACCCUUGUAGUCC